rnacentral:rRNA from 1 species
UACGCAGGGUGCAAGCGUUACUCGGAAUUACUGGGCGUAAAGCGUGCGUAGGUGGUUUGUUAAGUCUGAUGUGAAAGCCCUGGGCUCAACCUGGGAAUUGCAUUGGAUACUGGCAGGCUAGAGUGCGGUAGAGGAUGGCGGAAUUCCCGGUGUAGCAGUGAAAUGCGUAGAGAUCGGGAGGAACAUCUGUGGCGAAGGCGGCCAUCUGGACCAGCACUGACACUGAGGCACGAAAGCGUGGGGAGCAAACAGG